rnacentral:tRNA from 1 species
GCCCAGCUAGCUCACUCAGUAGAGCAUGAAACUCUUAAUCUCAGGGUCGUGGGUUCGAGACCCACGUUGGGCU